AGAAAGAAAAGGAAAUGAAGAAAGGUAUUGCUUUUCCCACCAGCAUUUCGGUAAAUAACUGUGUAUGUCACUUCUCCCCUUUGAAGAGCGACCAGGAUUAUAUUCUCAAGGAAGGUGACUUGGUAAAAAUGUAAGGUUAAACCGUUUUAAAGCAUUUUUCUUUUUUUAAAGCAUUUACAAAAUGCCAGUUCCUAAUGCAGUACUCUGAUCUUGCCUUUCAGUGACCUUGGGGUCCAUGUGGAUGGCUUCAUCGCUAAUGUAGCUCACACUUUUGUGGUUGAUGUAGCUCAGGGGACCCAAGUAACAGGGAGGAAAGCAGAUGUUAUUAAGGCAGCUCACCUUUGUGCUGAAGCUGCCCUACGCCUGGUCAAACCUGGAAAUCAGAACACACAAGUGACAGAAGCCUGGAACAAAGUUGCCCACUCAUUUAACUGCACGCCAAUAGAAGGUAUGCUGUCACACCAGUUGAAGCAGCAUGUCAUCGAUGGAGAAAAAACCAUUAUCCAGAAUCCCACAGACC
rnacentral:lncRNA from 1 species